UACAGAGGUCUCAAGCGUUGUUCGGAUUUACUGGGCGUAAAGGGUGCGUAGGCGGCUUUUUAAGUUUGGUGUGAAAUCUCCCGGCUCAACUGGGAGGGUGCGCCGAAUACUGAGAAGCUAGAGUGUGGGAGAGGAAAGUGGAAUUCCUGGUGUAGCGGUGAAAUGCGUAGAUAUCAGGAGGAACACCGGUGGUGUAAACGGCUUUCUGGACCAUAACUGACGCUGAGGCACGAAAGCGUGGGUAGCAAACAGG
rnacentral:rRNA from 1 species